rnacentral:rRNA from 1 species
AGAGUUUGAUCAUGGCUCAGAAUCAACGCUGGCGGCGCGCUUAACACAUGCAAGUCGCACGAGAAAGGGGAGCAAUCCCUGAGUAAAGUGGCGUACGGGUGAGUAACACGUGGAUCAUCUACCUUUUAGUGGGGAAUACCCCCGGGAAACUGGGGACAAUACCGCAUAAGCUCGUGAGAGGAAAGCAGCAAUGCGCUGAAAGAGGAGUCCGCGGCUGAUUAGCUAGUUGGUGAGGUAACGGCCCACCAAGGCGGAGAUCGGUAGCCGGCCUGAGAGGGCACACGGCCACACUGGCACUGAAAUACGGGCCAGACUCCUACGGGAGGCAGCAGUGGGGAAUCUUGCACAAUGGAGGAAACUCUGAUGCAGCGACGCCGCGUGAACGAUGAAGCCCUUCGGGGUGUAAAGUUCUUUCGACGGGAACGAUAAUGACGGUACCCGAAGAAGAAGCUGCGGCUAACUACGUGCCAGCAGCCGCGGUAAUACGUAGGCAGCAAGCGUUGUUCGGAAUUACUGGGCGUAAAGAGUGCGUAGGCGGUGCUCUAAGUCUGUUGUGAAAUCUCCCGGCUCAACUGGGAGGGUGCAGCGGAAACUGGAGUGCUUGAGGGUGGGAGAGGUAAGCGGAAUUCCUGGUGUAGCGGUGAAAUGCGUAGAUAUCAGGAGGAACACCUGUGGUGUAGACAGCUUACUGGACCACUUCUGACGCUGAGGCACGAAAGCGUGGGUAGCAAACAGGAUUAGAUACCCUAGUAGUCC